NAAAGAAGUAGUCACUGUGGUGCUCCCAUACCAUCUCGAACAAACCAGUGAAGCC
rnacentral:misc_RNA from 1 species